CAAGAGGUGUUACUUCUAGUCAAGCUUGGCCACUCGCAAGAAGGCAAAACUUAGUAUCGAGGCAUUACUUUCCAUGAAUCUUGAUAACAAGAGGUGUUACUGAUGUUUCUCUGUACCAAUGUGUUGCAACAGGGUGGUAUGUUGGGGUCAUGAUUUCUCAUUUCAUAUCGGUCCCAUUCAAUUAAGUCCUUUGUGUUUUUAAAUCAAACAAAUUUAGUUCUGCUACUAAUUUUUUUCUACAUAAGACCAUCAAAUUCGUCUUCUCUGCUUAAUCUUCUCAAAUUAAAUUGUUUUAAAUCAUCUUAUACUCAAAAUUCAAUAUUCAAAGCAAAACAAAUUUUCUUUUAAUGGAUUCAUGACCCUAAAUCAAACCAGACACAUCUUUUGUUUUUCUCGAUAAACCCUUCUCCUUUCACUUCUCUUCUUUGCUGACUACCGCCAUCAACGACUCAAUCGCGCAACUUUGUUGCCAAGGAGGCUGCGACGCUGAAGCCAACGACGAAGACAAUGAUGCCCCACCCUUUCGUUUACGCCCCCUUCCUCAGCCACGCCCCAGAAGCCCCAAGUCCCAAGCCCCAAAACUCCUUAGCUUUACCGAUGACAAAUACUAGGAAAACCCUCGUCCACGAUCUCAAUGUCCCCACAUCCUCAAGGGCCUCAUCAAACCAGUAGCUUUAGAGACCCAUGGUUGAGAAUCAGACUCCGAGGGAGAUCACGAAACAGUUGAAGUCGAAGUGGGUGACAUUGGCCUUCAUUAUAGGAAAGAGUCCCUCCUAUCUCAAUAUUAGGGAAGAAACAAUAGUUGGCUUCUCUUGGUUCAAGGGUGAUAUGGAAAAGUUCCACCUUUGCUAAAGAUCAAGCUUUUGGUAUAUGGUGUUAACUCUUGGGCAUACCACCCACAAUUGUUAAUUUAUCCUUUAUUCCUUACAAGUCUAUUAAAGAUUUUGAAUUAUUAGUUUAAGGUUUUGUGCCAUUUCUCUUAUUAUAUAAUAUGAUGAACUGGAGAAUAUGAUGAUAUAAAAGCCCUUUUUCAAGGAAGGUGAAUACUGGAGAAUAAUAGAGUAACCAACCAAUGAAGUUGAGUACAAAUUCAGUUCUGAAAGCUGAGAAAGAAGAGUUGGAAUCAUCACUCAGUAAGGAGAAGUAACAUGCUUUUCAAUUAAAGCAAGAGCUGAUGGAAGAUGAGUCUCGUAACUCUAAUCUUAAAAGGUUGCGAAGAUGGAAACAAAGAAAAUGUUUAUUCAAAUGGUUGAAACUGAUUUGGAAAAGAGAAGGGAAGAAGGCAAAUACAAAGGCAAAUUUAGAGGGUAGACCAACUUUUUCAUGUUUGAAAUAUACGUCCUCUAGUAGGAGAAUGGACUGUUAGAGGAACUGCACUCAUCGUGAUUAUAUAGUAUUAGGAAACUUUGGAUAUUAUUAAUAUGUUAGGAAAUACUGCUUAUAUAUUAUAACAUGAUUGAAUGCUUUGUAAUUAGAUAGUUGUAUUUUAUAAUGUUUAUAUUUUUGAAGAUAUUAAAGCUAUA